GAUGAACGCUGGCGGCGUGCCUAAUACACGCAAGUCGAGCGAACAGACGAGGAGCUUGCUCCUCUGACGUUAGCGGCGGACGGGUGAGUAACACGUGGAUAACCUACCUAUAAGACUGGGAUAACUUCGGGAAACCGGAGCUAAUACCGGAUAAUAUAUUGAACCGCAUGGUUCAAUAGUGAAAGACGGUUUUGCUGUCACUUAUAGAUGGAUCCGCGCCGCAUUAGCUAGUUGGUAAGGUAACGGCUUACCAAGGCAACGAUGCGUAGCCGACCUGAGAGGGUGAUCGGCCACACUGGAACUGAGACACGGUCCAGACUCCUACGGGAGGCAGCAGUAGGGAAUCUUCCGCAAUGGGCGAAAGCCUGACGGAGCAACGCCGCGUGAGUGAUGAAGGUCUUCGGAUUGUAAAACUCUGUUAUUAGGGAAGAACAAAUGUGUAAGUAACUAUGCACGUCUUGACGGUACCUAAUCAGAAAGCCACGGCUAACUACGUG
rnacentral:rRNA from 1 species